rnacentral:rRNA from 1 species
UACAGAGGGUGCAAGCGUUGUUCGGAAUUACUGGGCGUAAAGCGUGCGUAGUCGGUAUUGAGAGUCAUAGGUGAAAUCCCAGGGCUUAACCCUGGAUCUGCCCGUGAGACCUCAGUACUAGAGUGUGAGAGGGGAUAGUGGAAUACCAAGUGUAGCGGUGAAAUGCGUAGAGAUUUGGUGGAACACCGGUGGCGAAGGCGGCUAUCUGGCUCACAACUGACGAUCAGGCACGAAAGCGUGGGGAGCAAACAGG